AGGUGAAAAGCACUUCGAACAGAAGAGUGAAAUAGUCCCUGAACCCAUACGCCUACAAGCUGUCGGAGCCGCUUCGUGCGGUGACGGCGUGCCUUUUGCAUAAUGAGCCUACGAGUUACUCAUCACCAGCGAGGUUAAGUACUUCAGGUACGUAAGCCGAAGCGAAAGCGAGUCUGAAUAGGGCGUCAAGUUGGUGGUGGUAGACGCGAAACCUUAGUGAUCUACCCAUGGGCAGGGUGAAGGUUUGGUAACACAAACUGGAGGCCCGAACCGGUAAACGUUGAAAAGUUUUCGGAUGACCUGUGGGUAGGGGUGAAAGGCCAAUCAAACUGGGAAAUAGCUCGUACUCUCCGAAAUGCAUUUAGGUGCAGCCUCUGUUGUUUUGUUCUAGAGGUAGAGCUACUGAUUGGAUGCGAGGGCUUCACCGCCUAUCAAAUCCGGCCAAACUCCGAAUGCUAGAACAUGAAGACAGGGAGUGAGCCAGCGGGUGCUAAGGUCCGUUGACGAAAGAGGGAGAACUCAGACCAUCAGCUAAGGUCCCCAAUUGUAUGCUAAGUUGGAAUUAAAACGGGGUGGGACUGCUUAGACAGCUAGGAUGUUGGCUUGGAAGCAGCCAUUCAUUUAAAGAGUGCGUAACAGCUCACUAGUCGAGCGGUCCUGCAUGGAUAAUACGCGGGCAUAAGCAUAUAACCGAAGCUAUGGGAUUGUAGAUGAUACAAUCGGUAGGAGAGCAUUCCAUUCAGCGUAGAAGCAGUAUCGUGAGGUAUUGUGGAGCGGAUGGAAAAGCAAAUGUAGGCAUAAGUAACGAUAAUGCGGGUGAGAACCCCGCACGCCGAAAGAUCAAGGAUUCCCCGGCAAUGUCAAUCAUCCGGGGGUAAGUCGGAUCCUAAGGGUAAGCCGAGUGGCGAUCCCGAUGGCAAACAGGUUAAUAUUCCUGUACUGAUCAUAACUGCGAUGCAGCGACGCAGAGGUGACACUGCUGCGUACUGACGGAAUAGUACGUUGAAACCCGUAUUCUUUGAUACCGGUAGUGAAGCACGCCGGUAGAGAUGAAAGGUGAUAGUACCGCAAUGCUUCGGUUGCGCGGAUAAUGCAGGUAAGCUGACUGCCAAGAAAACCUGCUAAGCUUCAGGUAAUGAUCAUCCGUACUGUAAACGGACACACGUGAUCAGGUAGAAAAUACUAAGGCGCUCGAGAGAUUCAUGGUUAAGGAACUAGGCAAAAUGGUCCUGUAACUUCGGGAUAAAGGACGCUCUUGUGAAAGAGCCGCAGAUAAUAGGCCCAGGCGACUGUUUACCAAAAACACAUGGCUAUGCUAAUUCGCAAGAAGAUGUAUAUGGCCUGACACCUGCCCGGUGCCGGAAGGUUAAGAGGAGAGCUCAGAGGCAACUCGAAGGUUUGAAUUGAAGCCCCGGUAAACGGCGGCCGUAACUAUAACGGUCCUAAGGUAGCGAAAUUCCUUGUCGGGUAAGUUCCGACCUGCACGAAUGGUGUAACGAUCUGGGUACUGUCUCAACCAUGAGCUCGGUGAAAUUGUAGUUCCGGUGAAGAUGCCGGAUACCCGCAACGGGACGGAAAGACCCCGUGAACCUUUACUGCAGCUUUGCAUUGAUUUUGGGUAACAGAUGUGUAGGAUAGGUCGGAGGCUUUGAUGCUGCGUCGUCAGGCGUAGAGUAGCCGUCGUUGAAAUACGACCCUUCAUUUGU
rnacentral:rRNA from 1 species